rnacentral:rRNA from 1 species
UACGCAGGGGGCUAGCGUUGCUCGGAAUGACUGGGCGUAAAGGGCGCGUAGGCGGUUUGUUCAGUCCGAUGUGAAAUUCCUGGGCUCAACCUGGGGGCUGCAUUUGAUACGUAUGGACUGGAGUGAGGAAGAGGGUCGUGGAAUUCCCAGUGUAGAGGUGAAAUUCGUAGAUAUUGGGAAGAACACCGGUGGCGAAGGCGGCGACCUGGGCCUUUACUGACGCUGAGGCGCGAAAGCGUGGGGAGCAAACAGG